UCGAGAAUUUUUCUCAAUGGGGGAAACCCUGAAGGAGCGACGCCGCGUGGAGGAUGAAGGUCUUCGGAUUGUAAACUCCUGUCAUGAGGGAGUAAUGCACGGCGUUAACUGCGUACGUGUUUGAUAGUACCUCAAGAGGAAGAGACGGCUAACUCUGUGCCAGCAGCCGCGGUAAUACAGAGGUCUCAAGCGUUGUUCGGAUUCAUUGGGCGUAAAGGGUGCGUAGGUGGCGUGGUAAGUCAGAUGUGAAAUCCCCGGGCUCAACCUGGGAACUGCAUUUGAUACUGCCGUGCUAGAGUGCUGGAGGGGAGACUGGAAUUCACGGUGUAGCAGUGAAAUGCGUAGAUAUCGUGAGGAAGACCGGUGGCGAAGGCGAGUCUCUGGACAGCAACUGACACUG
rnacentral:rRNA from 1 species